rnacentral:misc_RNA from 1 species
GAUGAAGAACGCAGCGAAAUGCGAUACGUAAUGUGAAUUGCAGAAUUCAGUGAAUCAUCGAAUCUUUGAACGCAUAUUGCGCUCUCUGGUAUUCCGGAGAGCAUGCUUGUUUGAGUAUCAGUAAACACCUCAACUUCCAUAUCUUUUUUGAAAUGGGAGUUGGACUUGAGUGAUCCCAACGCUUUUCCUCACCGAAAAGUGGCGGGUUACUUGAAAUGCAGGUGCAGCCGGACUUUUCUCUGAGCUAUAAGCAUAUCUAUUUAGUCUGCCUAAAAAACAGAUUAUUACCUUUGCUGCAGCUAACAUAAAGGAGAUUAGUUCUUGUGCUGACUGAUGCAGGAUUCACAAAGACAGGCUUCGGCCGACUUUGUAAACUCGAUCUCAAAUCAAGUAAGACUACCCGCUGAACUUAAGCAUAUCAAUAAGCGGAGGA